GAUUCUCUGGGAUGCGCGACCGACGCCGACGAAACCCUCGCCGACACCAAGAGUCUAACAACCUCGCGUAACGUCGUGGUGAGCAGGACCGCCCGGCAGCGGGAAGCCUAAAGCGCCGUUUAGAGGCCAGUCCUUCUGAUGAAGGGCGAGAAUUUCCAACGCGACGUCGGCAUCCUGGAGACCAG
rnacentral:other from 1 species